rnacentral:ncRNA from 1 species
AGACUGCUGACAAAGUACCGGCUACGGAGAGAACAGGCAGAUCAUAAAGACGCCGUGAAUACGUCCUUGUAGACUCGUGCGCGCCAUCCUUGGCGCGGACGAUU